GAAAGAGAAAUCGGUGAGAGAUGGAUCCGCGUCCGAUUAGCUAGUUGGAGGGGUAACAGCCCACCAAGGCGACGAUCGGUAGCCGACCUGAGAGGGUGGACGGCCACAUUGGGACUGAGACACGGCCCAAACUCCUACGGGAGGCAGCAGUGGGGAAUAUUGCACAAUGGGGGAAACCCUGAUGCAGCAACGCCGCGUGAGUGAGGAAGUAUUUCGGUAUGUAAAGCUCUAUCAGCAGGGAAUAGAAAAGAAGGUACCUGAAAAAGAAGCCCCGGCUAACUACGUGCCAGCAGCCGCGGUAAUACGUAGGGGGCAAGCGUUAUCCGGAUUUACUGGGUGUAAAGGGAGCGUAGACGGAAAGGCAAGUCAGAAGUGAAAGCCCAAGGCUCAACCAUGGGACUGCUUUUGAAACUGUCAAACUAGAGUACGGGAGAGGUAAGAGGAAUUCCUAGUGUAGCGGUGAAAUGCGUAGAUAUUAGGAGGAACACCAGUGGCGAAGGCGUCUUACUGGACCGAAACUGACGUUGAGGCUCGAAAGCGUGGGGAGCAAACAGGAUUAGAUACCCUGGUAGUCCACGCGGUAAACGAUGAAUACUAGGUGUUGGGGUAAAGAAACCUCG
rnacentral:rRNA from 1 species